CAGUCGCCGCGGUAAUACGUAGGUGGCAAGCGUUGUCCGGAAUUAUUGGGCGUAAAGGGCCCGCAGGCGUCUUCUUAAGUCUGAUGUGAAAGCCCCCGGCUCAACCGGGGAGGGUCAUUGGAAACUGGGAAACUUGAGUGCAGAAGAGGAGAGUGGAAUUCCACGUGUAGCGGUGAAAUGCGUAGAGAUGUGGAGGAACACCAGUGGCGAAGGCGACUCUCUGGUCUGUAACUGACGCUGAGGAGCGAAAGCGUGGGGAGCGAACAGGAUUAGAUACCCCCGUAGUCCUGUCUCUUAUACA
rnacentral:rRNA from 1 species